UCAUUGCUUUACAUAGUCAUUAGUUGGGUCAACUGUUGAGCCACUCAGACUUGCUACAAGAGGUCUGUGGUUCGAAUCCUGGUAUCUCCAGUUGAUUUGUUUUUCUGGUUGUACUGAAAAAGUAGUGUAUAUCUCUACUACUAAUAAACAAGCAAACAAGAACUUCGCUAAAUACACCCGGCAACUUGUCCCACAAAACGCACGGAACAAUCAACACCACACAAUUAUACCCGCACAUCUAAAUCUAACAGCCAUCAUUCAUUUGCUGCCUGUACGGUGUGGACUUAGGAAAUACCCUUGACUGACCGUGCUCCACCUCCAGCACCCCCCAUCCACCCCCUACAAUCACGCUGUACUCCAGGUAAAUAAGGAAACAACAUUAAUUCGUCAUCACACCACGCUGAUCUCCUGGUAAAAUAAGGAAACAAAAUUAAUUCGACAUCGCACCAUCGCCAACGUCAUCGCCAUUGUUGCCGACCAACGUGGAGACCGUCCGCGAGCAGCGUCGCUUCCUUCCCCGAGGUCGCCAGGGCAGCGACGCCACAAAACUUCCAGCAAGGUCGCCAUGGCAGCGACGCCAGGGAACGCCCAGGAUCCUGCCCUCGCAGCGUGGCAUCCCUACGGGAGAUCCCCACUGGUACAGCCCGCCCUGCCCGUCGCAGCCAGCCGGAUACACGCAGCUGUAAAAUUCUUCUCUCCACUUUAGUCUAAACUUCUUCCUUUGACCUGCUUCUUCCUUUGACCUGUUGCAUCAAUACUCCAAAUUAUUAUUUUCAGAAUAUAUAGUUCUAAAAUAUACACGCGUGCACAUCACAAUACUACACAUCUGUAUCGAUUUCCAGCCUAACUGAUACAUGCAUCCUAUGUCCUAGACCUGGUGUGAACUAAAAUAGCCAUUCAUAUUUUAGAGUUGUGGUUUCGAAGUUAUUUGUAAAUGUAAUCCAUAUGAACAUUAUUCUUUUACUUACUUCAUUAACAUAUGUGCCAAUAUGUUCGCACCAUACCCUCAGGGCCAUUACCUUGACUGUCCAUUCUAGAUAAUUAAGCUCCAAGGCACUUGAUCAAUUGACAACUGUAAAAAACAGGUUGCAAGUGCAUGUGAUGCCUACUUACUUUCUGAUGAAGUCAUAACCAUCUGCAUACUUGGUUGCCUGAUUUUAUUUUAAAUGGAGUUGUAUGCGUUGGUAAGAAAUUAAGGUGUUUGUAAACUUGGUGAGACUAUCUUGACGACAAAGGGAGGGGACAAACUAUAGCCGCUCUUAUCCCCUUAGAGGGAGAGGUUAGGAGAGAACAAACCAUAUCUUUAGUCUAAACUUCUUCCUUCGACCUGCUUCUUCCUUUGACC
rnacentral:lncRNA from 1 species